AUCGUAACUCCUACGGGAGGCAGCAGUGGGGAAUAUUGCACAAUGGGGGAAACCCUGAUGCAGCCAUGCCGCGUGUAUGAAGAAGGCCUUCGGGUUGUAAAGUACUUUCAGUUGUGAGGAAGGCGUUGGAGUUAAUAGCUUCAGCGCUUGACGUUAGCAACAGAAGAAGCACCGGCUAACUCCGUGCCAGCAGCCGCGGUAAUACGGAGGGUGCGAGCGUUAAUCGGAAUUACUGGGCGUAAAGCGCAUGCAGGCGGUCUGUUAAGCAAGAUGUGAAAGCCCGGGGCUCAACCUCGGAACAGCAUUUUGAACUGGCAGACUAGAGUCUUGUAGAGGGGGGUAGAAUUUCAGGUGUAGCGGUGAAAUGCGUAGAGAUCUGAAGGAAUACCGGUGGCGAAGGCGGCCCCCUGGACAAAGACUGACGCUCAGAUGCGAAAGCGUGGGGAGCAAACAGGAUUAGAAACCCUAGUAGUCCUAGAGC
rnacentral:rRNA from 1 species